rnacentral:tRNA from 1 species
GUUAGCUCAGUAGGUAGAGCGUGAGACUGUUAAUCUUAAGGUCAGUGGUUCGACCCC